GUAGAGCAUUAGCCUGUGGAGCUAAUGGUUGGGGGUUCAAAUCCCCUCGUUCACCCCA
rnacentral:tRNA from 1 species